GUUGGAAGCUACGACACUUACGGCACCGCAACCUCGCCCUGGCAAAUGGCGACGUCCUAGGAUGAGCACUGCUGAUCGAGCUACCGAGUGUCGGAGGAGCGCCCCAGCCUGCAGAAAGCGAAAUGCGCAUGUCAUGGUGGUGCUGCUGCGUCAAGUUUUGCCAGCAAAUGACCUUCUGCAAGUGUCGCUGACAGAAUGUUCAUCUUGUUUUUUUAUCUAUAUUGCAAUAAAUAGCUUUUGAGCAAGAUCUUUAUUUU
rnacentral:lncRNA from 1 species